rnacentral:lncRNA from 1 species
GGCAAUUGCUUUCUGCACCCCAGUCUUUACACCCAAUUUUUUUUAAUAUUUCCAACUUACCCUUCUCCCCUCGCUCACCCUCUUGUGCCUCUGCAACCCAAGCCUCGUUCUGCCGUGACUAGGCCAUUGCAUAGCAUUCAGCAUUGUAUGUCAUAUUACGCCUCUCAUUCCUUGCAUUGUCGCCACUGUGGAAUUCUGAAUCCAGAAGCUGACCAACAAUGCUCUGGAUUGAGUAAUAUGAAAUAUAAAUGUUUUCUAGAUUACUCAACCUGGAAUUGCAAAACCAUAAUUCCAAAAUUCUGAAUUUGAAAGUUGAUAUGAUCGUAUUAUUUUUAUGGAUUAUCCUUGAGUUAGUUAUCAUGUUAGAGGUAUUAAAGACAAAAAUAAAAGAAAAUGAAAAUUAACACAAAGAUAAAGACAUGUAGCCAAUGUCGCAAAGUUUAGAAAACAAAGAAGUAAAGAAAUAAACACAAAAGAUGAAUAUAAAAGAGAUGAAAUUAGUGAAAGGAUCAAACAAUUAAAUAAUGGCACAAACAAGAACAAGAUAAAUAAAAUAACAAAAGAAAUAGAAAAAAAAUGGAAUAAGAUGAGAAAUGAGAAAUAAGGCAUCACACUCUAGGAGAGUGAUAAGUUAAGUGAGAAAUCGUCAUAAAGGUUUUCAACUAAUUAAAAAAUAUAACAUUCUUAACUGCCAAGUAAGUGGAUUAACUAAUAUAAGGUUAUUUUAAUUUAAUUAGAGAUCUUGAAAUUGAGUCCUAGGCAUAUAACUAUCUUAAAUACUUGAAUUUUUUUUUUGCCUUUUAUAACAAUUUUAUGUGACUUGAACAAAAAUUAACUCUGAUGAAGGAUAUACCUUGUGGUGUAGAAAAAAAAACAUAACCUCCUUUUUAAUCAUGAUAAGUCAAAGGAUGUUGCUUCACUUGAUGGGUGAUGCAUUCUUCUGAAAGUGAUACAUUAGUUUGUAAAACAGGAAAAAUAUAGAAACAACAAAGAGAAAAUUUUAAUUUUACUUCAUUUGUGAAUGCCAUGGCCGAAAUUAGGCUACCAAUCACCAAUAAAGCUACUCCGCACGUAAAAUUAGAGUGUGGUCUCGAUCUUUCCAAACAAA